CGUAAACCAAAGAAUUUAGAAGAAUUAAAAGCGGUAAUUCAAGAAGAAUGGGACAAGAUUACCCCUCAACAGCGUGAAAGACUUGUGGGGAACAUGCCAGCCAGGAUUAGAGCUCUACUGUGUGCUAAUGCCAGGACUACUAAAUAUUAAUGUUGUUGGCUUGCGUGUAUUGUCAUUGGCUACAUCGUGUGUCGUCAUCGGCCAUGAUGACCUUCCGGGUGGAGCGCAGAAAGGCGGAGAAAGGAAGUCGGAAAACAGAUAUAAAUCAACGUCUGGGCCGUUGGUUCGGUUUGUCGGUACUGUGAAAAACCUUACUCACUGAAGAAGCCUGGCUGCUAAAACAAGCUUUGAAGCUGCUUUUUGUCGAACACGAGUGAUGCUGGACGCUGAAUACACCUGCGGCACAAAGGUGUCACCACGUUGUCCGCAACAUUGUCCAUGAUCUCAGAGACACGGUCCAUGAUCGGAGAGACAUUGUUGAGGAUGAGGGAGACAUCGUCCACGAUCAAAGACAUUGUCCACAAUCGCAGAGACCUUGUCAAAGAUGAGAGAGACGUUGUCCAUGAUCAGAGACAUUGCCCAUGCUUCGUAGAGACCUUGCGAUAGAAUCGGCGGAGACGGGGGUCACCGAUUUGAAGGCAUUGCCCGCGAUCAUGGAGACAUUGUCGAUGAUCACUGAGACAGCGUCUAUGAUCUCAGAGACAUCGUCCACGAUCACAAAGACAUAGUCCAUGAUCGCAGAGACAUUGUCCAUAAUCUCAGAGACACUGUCCGCGAUCACAGAGACGUAGUCCACGAUCACAGAGACUCUUCGUACAAUGAAGAAGUUCUUUGAGACCAGGACAGAGGCCUCCAGCUCCUUUCACAAAAACAACAGGAUCCACCAAUAGCGAAG